rnacentral:rRNA from 1 species
CCCUUAGAUGUCCGGGGCUGCACGCGCGCUACACUGAAGGAAUCAGCGUGCUAAAACCAUUGUCGAAAGGCAUUGGUAAACCCAUUAAAAUCCUACGUGAUUGGGAUCGGGAAUUGCAAUUAUUUCCCUUGAACGAGGAAUUCCCAGUAAGUGUGGGUCAUAAGCUCGCGUUGAUUACGUCCCUGCCCUUUGUACACACCGCCCGUCGCUGCCCGGGACUGAGCCGUUUCGAGAAAAGCGGGGACUGCUGCUGUCGGGGCUUUUGGGCCUUGGCUUCGGUGGAAACCGCUUUAAUCGCAGGGGCUUGAACCGGGCAAAAGUCGUAACA